UAGGGAAUAUUAGAAAUGGACGAAAGUUUGAUCUAGCAACACCGCGUGCGCGAAGAAGGCCUUCGGGUCGUAAAGCACUUUUUGGAAGGAAUAGGAAGGAAUGUACUUCCAGAAUAAGUCUCGGCUAACUACGUGCCAGCAGCCGCGGUAACACGUAGGAGGCAAACGUUAUCCGGAUUUACUGGGCGUAAAGCGCGUGUAGGUGGUACUGUAAGUAGGGCGUGAAAGCUCCUGGCUCAACUGGGAGAGGCCGUUCUAAACUACAGAACUAGAGGAUGGUAGAGGGAGGUGGAAUUCCAGGUGUAGCGGUGGAAUGCGCAGAUAUCUGGAGGAACACCGGUGGCGAAGGCGGCCUCCUGGACCAUUCCUGACACUCAGACGCAAAAGCUAGGGUAGCAAACG
rnacentral:rRNA from 1 species